CCCUUAGACGUUCUGGGCCGCACGCGCGCUACACUGACCAGUGCAACAAGCAUCCGUCCUUGGCCGACAGGCUCGGGCAAUCUUUGAACGUGAAUCGUGAUGGGGAUAGAUGAUUGCAAUUAUUCAUCUUCAACGAGGAAUUCCUAGUAAACGCAAGUCAUCAGCUUGCAUUGAUUACGUCCCUGCCCUUUGUACACACCGCCCGUCGCACCUACCGAUUGAAUGGUCCGGUGAAAUCUUCGGAUCUGAGAGAUGUCUGAUUAAUUUCGGACGCCUUUUGGAAAAGUUGCUUAAACCUUACCAUUUAGAGGAAGGUGAAGUCGUAACA
rnacentral:rRNA from 1 species